UACGAAGGGGGCUAGCGUUGCUCGGAAUUACUGGGCGUAAAGGGCGCGUAGGCGGACGAACAAGUCGGGGGUGAAAGCCCGGGGCUCAACCUCGGAAUUGCCUUCGAAACUGUUCGUCUAGAGUGCGGGAGAGGUGUGUGGAACUCCGAGUGUAGAGGUGAAAUUCGUAGAUAUUCGGAAGAACACCAGUGGCGAAGGCGACACACUGGCUCACUACUGACGCUGAGGCGCGAAAGCGUGGGGAGCAAACAGG
rnacentral:rRNA from 1 species